UUUUUUUUUUUUUUUUGGUGGGAAACAGCCAUUUUCUUAUAUGAUGAUGAUCAACAUAAUGCAUAGGUUCAGAAAUUUGUAUUGUUAAAGUCAGGGAUAAAGUUGUUUUACUUAGGAAAUACUUUAGUUUUAUUUGGUGAUAAAAAACAAGCUGAUGCUUAUUAUUUAUGUAAUAGCACUAAGUCCUGUUUCUCCCCCCUUUACUGAACUGUGCCAUGAAGUCUAUCCUCUUGAUGGAGGAGGGUAAGGUGUCAGCUUUGCUUCUGCAGAAUGUAAAAAAUUAUAUAGCAAUGUUUUAAAAGUUCCAAAUUAACAGAUUCAUUUUUUUAAAAGAUUUUGUUUAUUUAUUUGAGAGCAAGUGAGCAAGCGAGCAAGUGAUGGGGGUGGAACAGAGGGAGAGGGACAAGCAGACUCUGCCCUCACUGUGGAGCAGAUAGGAGGCUCCAUCACACAACCCCGAGAUCAUGACUUGAUCCCAAAUUCAGACUCGGCUGCUUAACGGACUGAGUCACCCAGAUGCUGCCAAAGUAACACUUUUAACACACACACAAAUCACACUGCAAUGUAAUUGUGCUAUUCAUUCAUAAGCUAACUAUAGAAUCCACAAAAGGCUUGAAUUGGUGGCUCACUUAAGCACCAUGGUAACAGCACUCAAAGUUUAAAGUUGUAGGAGCGGAGCCUCUCCGGCCAGUAGGCCUGGCAAAGGGCAAAUGCAGAACCUUGCCCUGCCCUCAAAGAUCCACUUCAGUCCUCAGAGCCCUCGAGAUGAGCCUUGAUGGCAAGCUUCGGACUUUGGGUAGAAAUGGGAGUAGAUUUUUUUUUCAUCUUCUUUUAUUUCCUCAACUUUGUUGCUUCAUGAUAUUUAUUAAAAAAAAAAAAAAGGAAAAGGAAAAGAAAGAAGUUUUCCUUCAGGGUAUGACAUUUGACCUGGCACCUCUCCAAGUGUCACGUUCCUUGGUGUAAAAUGGAAAUAUUAGGACCACCUUACCGUGCAGAGAGUAGGGGCUCCUCGGUUGUGCCGUUCCUAAGAACCCUGCCCGACGUAGCUGUUUCUGGAAGAGGGUGCCGGUUCCCUUCACCUAUUAGUCAAGUGAUUUCCCAUCUCUCUGGGUCCCAACUUCGCCUCCGCCCAAUGGCUUUGCGGACGUCACUUUUCAAUGCUAUCUCCAUCGGACUCCUCAGCCUGUCACAGACCAAUGCACAGGGCUGUGGUAAAGGGUGGCUUUUCCUCAGGGAGAUGGCUGGUUCUGCGGACAGAACUGUGGUUCCUCCGACUCACGCUGCCCGGGAGGUCGU
rnacentral:lncRNA from 1 species